GAUGUGAAAGUCAGAUUGGAAUGAGGGAGGGAGGCAGAGGGCUCCCGGUCUGGUGGGAAGCCUGUUGUAGUAGUUGAGGGGAGAGGAGACACGAAGGCAGAGAAAAGGGCUUUCGUGGAUGGAUGGAUUGGCGUUGGUGUGGUAAGGGGAGAAAUUCUUGUUUUUGACCUGAGUAAUUGAUAAAUGGUGUUUCAGGGGUUGGUUGCACUGUCUAGGAGGUGCUUCUGGGACGUUCAGUGAAGAUAUCCAGGACAUGGCUGUAAGAAAGUGAAGCCCCAGAGAGCCUUCAUGGCCUGGGGUGCUGUCUUGGGCCUCCUGAUGGUGUACGUGGAAACCAAAGAUAGGGAGAGUGUGAUGUAAAAGAUUUUGGUGUAUGUCCUUGGUGCUGAAUCUGUAUCUAGUCUUACUCAAAGAGACUCUGAUAGAAGAGGCCCCAGGAAGGCAUUCCAAAACAGUAACACACAGUGUAGAUACGUCCAAAUAGCACUGAUGGCUUUUAUUGCAGGUUUGUGUCAUUACAAGGAUAAUCUGGGAAUAUAUUAAAAAAAACCCUCCCUUUUAUAUACACAAAACAUGCUACAUGGUACACUUUGUGGGAAUGCUGAGGUAAUAGGCACACACCCGGACAUGGACAGUACCAAACGUUCCAACAUCUCACACACCCCCAUUCACACGCCCACCGGGGACGGUCUCACCUUCCUGACUCCUCUCUUGCUCCCUGCUUGGCAAGAAGAGUCCCGGUAGUACUGAGUCUGACACUUCGCGGCCAACAGGACUCAGAAAGCCACCACGCUGCAAUGCACCAGCCAAGGGGUCCGGUGGCUCCUGGUUAUUCAGGAGCUCACGAGAAGCGGCCAGUUGUCAUUUUUGUGGCACCUGUACUCCAGAGAAGUGUAGUUUGGGGACGAGAUGCGGACUCUAGUCAGCCUGAGAGCACGGGACCUUUGGUCUGUAGCCAUUCGGGGGCCCCAAUGAUCGGGGGAUGACUUCUCUUCACUUGAGUAUCUCCUGGGCAAGGUAGGUUAUUAUUUCUGUGACGGUUAAAAUGACAUGUAGGCUAAAGUGUGAACGGAA